CACGUAGGCGGUUUGUUAAGUUGGAUGUGAAAGCCCAGGGCUCAACCUUGGAAUUGCAUCCGAUACUGGCAGGCUAGAGUACAGUAGAGGGAGGUGGAAUUUCCGGUGUAGCGGUGAAAUGCGUAGAGAUCGGAAGGAACACCAGUGGCGAAGGCGGCCUCCUGGACUGAUACUGACGCUGAGGUGCGAAAGCGGUGGGGAGCAAACA
rnacentral:rRNA from 1 species